AAAACGACUCUCGGCAACGGAUAUCUCGGCUCUCGCAUCGAUGAAGAACGUAGCGAAAUGCGAUACAUGGUGUGAAUUGCAGAAUCCCGUGAACCAUCGAGUCUUUGAACGCAAGUUGCGCCCGAAGCCUUCUGGCCGAGGGCACGCCUGCCUGGGUGUCAUGC
rnacentral:rRNA from 1 species